rnacentral:rRNA from 1 species
GAGAAGUUGAUCCUGGCUCAGGAUGAACGCUGGCGGCGUGCUUAACACAUGCAAGUCGAACGAUGAAGCCCAGCUUGCUGGGUGGAUUAGUGGCGAACGGGUGAGUAACACGUGAGUAACCUGCCCUUAACUCUGGGAUAAGCCUGGGAAACUGGGUCUAAUACCGGAUAGGAGCGUCCACCGCAUGGUGGGUGUUGGAAAGAUUUAUCGGUUUUGGAUGGACUCGCGGCCUAUCAGCUUGUUGGUGAGGUAAUGGCUCACCAAGGCGACGACGGGUAGCCGGCCUGAGAGGGUGACCGGCCACACUGGGACUGAGACACGGCCCAGACUCCUACGGGAGGCAGCAGUGGGGAAUAUUGCACAAUGGGCGCAAGCCUGAUGCAGCGACGCCGCGUGAGGGAUGACGGCCUUCGGGUUUGUAAACCUCGCUUUCAGUAGGGAAGAAGCGAAAGUGAC